rnacentral:rRNA from 1 species
UUCCCCUAGUAACGGCGAGUGAACAGGGAAAAGCUCAAAUUUUGAAUCGGUUGUCUUUGGCACCCGAAUUGUAAUCUAGAGAAGUGUUUUCUGUGUUGGGCCAUGUACAAGUCCCCUGGAAUGGGGUGUCAUAGAGGGUGAGAAUCCCGUAUAUGACAUGGACCACCAAUGCUCUGUGAUACACUCUCAACGAGUCGAGUUGUUUGGGAAUGCAGCUCAAAAUGGGUGGUAAAUUCCAUCUAAAGCUAAAUAUUGGCGAGAGACCGAUAGCGAACAAGUACCGUGAGGGAAAGAUGAAAAGCACUUUGGAAAGAGAGUGAAACAGUACGUGAAAUUGUUGAAAGGGAAGCGUUUGAAGUCAGUCAUGUCCAUUGGAAUUCAGCCUGGCUUCUUGCCUGGUGUACUUUCCGUUGGACAGGUCAGCAUCAGUUUUGACCAAGGGAAAAAGGCAGGAGGAAUGUGACUGUCUCCGGGCAGUGUUAUAGCCUCGUGUUGUAUGUCUUGGUUGGGACUGAGGAAUGCAGCGUGCCUUUUGGCCGGGGGUUCGCGCCCCUCGGUACACGCUUAGGAUGCUGGCAUAAUGGCUUUAAGCGACCCGUCUUGAAACACGGACCAAGGAGUCUAACAUGUGCGCAAGUGUUUGGGUGUCAAACCCGAGCGCGUAAUGAAAGUGAAAGGUCGAGAUCCUUUAUUGGUGCACCGACGCCCGGAGCCGACCUUCUGUGACGCAUCCGCGGUAGAGCGUAUUUGUUGGGACCCGAAAGAUGGUGAACUAUGCCUGAAUAGGGUGAAGCCAGAGGAAACUCUGGUGGAGGCUCGUAGCGAUUCUGACGUGCAAAUCGAUCGUCAAAUUUGGGUAUAGGGGCGAAAGACU